rnacentral:rRNA from 1 species
AACGAACGCUGGCGGCAUGCCUAACACAUGCAAGUCGAACGAGACCUUCGGGUCUAGUGGCGCACGGGUGCGUAACGCGUGGGAACCUGCCCUUAGGUUCGGAAUAACUCCCCGAAAGGGGUGCUAAUACCGGAUAAUGUCUUCGGACCAAAGAUUUAUCGCCUUUGGAUGGGCCCGCGUUGGAUUAGCUAGUUGGUAGGGCAAAAGCCUACCAAGGCGACGAUCCAUAGCUGGUCUGAGAGGAUGAUCAGCCACACUGGGACUGAGACACGGCCCAGACUCCUACGGGAGGAAGCAGUGGGGAAUAUUGGAAAAGGGGCGAAAGCCUGAUCCAGCAAUGCCGCGUGAGUGAUGAAGGCCUUAGGGUUGUAAAGCUCUUUUACCCGGGAUGAUAAUGACAGUACCGGGAGAAUAAGCUCCGGCUAACUCCGUG